rnacentral:lncRNA from 1 species
UUAAAUCUUCGACAUACAAUGUCGGUCCUUUUUCCCAAAUCUCACCCUUAGGGAGGAUAAAUAAAACAAAAAUGAUAGAAAAUAAAGGGUAGAAACAUAGGAAAAGAAGAAUGAAAAUUCCCAGCGUUAACAUACAUAAAUAAAACAAAACCUGAUUAAAAACUUGUAUAAUAAAGUUAAUUAAACAAUUGCACCAUCACCUCUAUAUUCAUCCACCAAAUCAACAUACGUCUUUGCAGCAAUUGUCCAUUUCCAUCAUCAUCCAUAACUUUUGACCUUACACCAUUAAUAGAUCCUACGAACUACACCUAGCCCCAUCAGUUAGACCAAAACAAACUGUACUAAACACACCACCACCGCCUACCUCCACGUCAUAAUCAAGAUAGACUAAUCUUCCCCAAAACUCAAAAAUCAAACCUCAUAAUAGUCGAAAUUGGGGAUAUUUGAGAACGAGGAUAACGGGGGGUUGGGGAGAUUAACGAUUGAUCGGGAAAUAUAGUUUAUGAGGAAAAUCAAAGGGGAUUCCUCGAGGAUAGCAAGCCAUUCGUGGGAGGAGGAGCAACGAUGGCACCAGUGAGAGACUUCCGGUAUGGUUAGGGAGUGAAACUUGUUUAUUAGCGAGGCUAAAAAAGUUGCGUUGGUGGGAUUCUUUCGUGGGAAUAGUUCUGAGGGAGCAUGAGCCAUGGAAGCUGACAAGGGAGAUUGGUUGGGGUUUUGGGGGUUGAACUUCACCAAUUGAUGUAAACGGCUCGAAGUCGAAUUUGAUCGGCGAUAAUUUUGAGCUUAUUAGCGAUUGAGUCAAGUAAUUCCGGUGGUAGUUCUGAUCAGUCAACGGCCAUUGAUGAUUAUGGCCAGACCGAUUUCGUUAAUUUGGGGGUUUAAGGCCUCAUUCAUUAAAGGGGAUUUGGUAUGGAAAUUUACCAAAUGAAGAGAGGAGAGAGAAAAUAUAACUCCUCCCUAUUAAUAUGCAGAUGAAUUGAAAUGAUGAAAAGAACCGAAAGACGGAAAUUAAAUUUAUGAUGCCCCAGAUAUGUUUGAUUUGGAUCAUGGUGGCGGUUUAGAUCACGGUAGCUCUGAUCUUUGUGUUAGUUCUUCGUUAACGGCUACGUUAUUUAUUUUUAUUUUUUAUGUGAUCAUUCACAAUAGUUUUAUUAUCUCUAUUCUUACUAUGUAGUGUUAUUGAGUUAUUCUGCAAGAUAUAGAUUCAAUUUUUUAAUAUGUACCGAACAGAUUCCUUAUAUUUAUUCCUUAAAUAAUAAAAUUUAAA